rnacentral:snRNA from 1 species
GGAUGUGAGGGCGAUCUGGCUGCGACAUCUGUCACCCCAUUGAUCGCCAGGGUUGAUUCGGCUGAUCUGGCUGGCUAGGCGGGUGUCCCCCUCCUCCCUCACCGAUCCAUGUGCGUCCCUCCCGAAGCUGCGCGCUCGGUCGAAGAGGACGACCUUCCCCCCAGAGGAGAGGACCGGUCUUCGGUCAAGGGUAUACGAGUAGCUGCGCUCCCCUGCUAGAACAAUGGCUCAAGGAAAUAAGACUUGAAUUUUUCAUUAACCAGGCCCAGACUACCACACACACCUUGAUCAAGCAGAGCUCCUUGGGCUCA